UCCAGUGACUGGUGACAAGCAAAGGCUUAGCGCAGAGCUCCCUCCAUGUUUCUUUACAAUAAAGUUUCCUUAUUCAAAGUCCUCCAGCGUAAUGGCGGCUCCCAUGGCAUGGAGGAGACUCGGGUAUCCGGCUUUGGCGCCGGCCUUGUGUUGCGUUUUUAACCGCAUUUCAGACAAAUUCUUUCGGAUGCGGGAUAGAAGAAGGAGGUCCUCGUUGCUCCUUCUUGCUCCCCUGCUGGCUGAAGCAGAGCCCGUGACCCCCCCGGCCACAUCGCACCGCCCCACCACGGAGGGGCUGCCGCUGCGGUUCCGCUGGAUGGCUGAGCACGCACCAGCCUUCCGUGUCCCUGGAGCCCAUGUCCGUGUGCUGCGUUCCCCUACUGAGUUCUACCAGGUCAUGAAGGCACGCAUUAAGACGGCCAAGAGCAGGGUGGUGAUGGCCUCACUGUAUCUUGGGACGGGACCCCUGGAACAGGACCUGGUAGACUGCCUUCAGGAGGCUCUGGAGCAUUCACAGGACACAGCUGGCACCUCUGGCCUCCGCGUCUCCAUCCUGCUGGACUACACUCGCGGCUCUCGAGGUACGAAUAACUCUCGCUCCAUCCUGCUGCCCCUGCUGCGCCGCUUCCCACAGCAGACCCGAGUCGCCCUAUACCAUACGCCCGAUCUGCGGGGACUGCUCCGCCUGCUCGUCCCUGAGCGCUUCAAUGAGACCAUUGGCGUGCAGCACAUCAAGGUCUACCUCUUUGAUGACAGCCUCAUCAUCAGCGGAGCCAACCUAAGUGACUCGUACUUCACCAACCGCCAGGACCGUUACGUCCUGCUGGAGGACUGCCACCAGGUGGCAGACUUCUUUGCUGAACUAGUGAGCGCCGUGAGUGACGUGUCGCUGCAACUGGGGCCAGAUGACAGCGUGCACAUGGAGGAGGGGAUGGUGCACCCGUACAAAGGUAACCGUGCCCAGUUUUCCGCCUCAGCGCGCUGCAGAAUUAUGGAGGUGGUGGACACCGCAGGGCUCCAUCAGCGAGAUGCAGACUCGGCGGCCCACGGAGACACCUGGGUGUUCCCGCUGGUGCAGAUGAAGCCGCUGGGCAUCCACCUGGAUGAGGAGGCCACGGUGAGGCUGCUGACCGAGGCCGGCCAGGAUGCCACCGUCUACCUUACGUCCGGCUACUUCAACCUGACACGCGCUUACAUGCGGCUGGUGCUGGCCACCCAUGCCGACUACCACAUCCUCAUGGCGUCGCCCGAGGUCAAUGGCUUCUUCGGGGCCAAGGGUGUGGCCGGUGCCAUCCCUGCAGCCUACGUCCACCUGGCGCACCAGUUCUACAACCAGGUGUGCCAGAGGGGCCAGCAGCACAGGGUCCGGCUGAAGGAGUACCACCGUCAGGACUGGACCUUCCAUGCCAAGGGGUUAUGGUACUACCUGCGUGGGAGCCACCGGCCAUGCCUCACCCUCAUCGGGUCCCCGAACUUCGGCUAUCGCUCUGUCCACCGAGAUCUGGAAGCCCAGGUUGCCAUAGUGACUGAGAACGAGGGACUGCAGGCCCAGUUGCAGCAGGAGCAGGAAACAUUAUAUCGGAGGUCCACAGAGGUAUCCAGUUCCACAUUCAAGCAUCCUGACCGCCAUGUCAAACUUUGGGUCAAGCUAGUCACUCCAUUCAUCAAGAACUUCUUCUGAGUGGCUUUAGGACUGUGUCGUGGAGAUCCUGGCCCCCAGGAAAAAAAGGAAAAGCUUGGACAGAGUUCAGGGAUAAAAUAAAGCAAUGUUACUGAACAGGAAAUGAAAGCGGUGAAAUUAUUGUGAGCACAGUCUGCCUUAUCUUCACGUGGCCUGAGAACACACACCGCUCUGCAUGUGCCACACGAGUCCACGCUGCUCUGCAUGUGCCAAGCGAGUCCAUGCAAAGCCGCCACAGGCACAGUAAGAUUGACAGAUGGUAGCACAGCCCGAUGGAGGCUGCAGGCUUUCUGCAGACGACUCAGCAGCUCCACCAGGGGUGAGCCCCAAGACUGCAUGUGCCAUGUGACUCCCUGCAAAGCCUCCAAAGGCAAAAGUUCACACAAGUGGCUAAUGCCUGAGAAGAAGAUGGGAGCAACGGCUUCUGCACAUUCAGACGUGGACAAGCAGUUGCCAGCACCCACCUGCCUGGUUUCUUCAUGGUCUUCAGAUUGAAGUUCCAGACGAAGGUCAGCCCACACAUGUGGGCUUGUACACGGGACACUCGUAGACAUUUUGGUUCCCCUGCCAGUCCGUGGGGGUGUAUUUGAUGAAGAUGACCGGCGUGGCGGAUGUCGGCUCCUCCUGCUUUGCCCCUGUGGUCGAUCCUAUUUGUGUGUCCCGGCCAGGCCCUGAAAAACACAUAGGCAAGUCUUUCAGGCCGGUACGGACUUCCGCAUGAAAUACAGUCAGCCUCAUCUAAGCGAUCUGCAGCACAGAAGCCUCCAGCCUCUCUGCCGUGGCUGGUCUGCAUCACCCUGCAUUCAGCGGCCGUCAGUGACUUCAUGUACAUUAGUGUCAGACCUGUAUGUGACAGGCGUCCCAUACUCAAACUGCCUGCCUCUAGGAUAAAUAAGAUCUCUUCCGAAUUUAAAUGCCAGCUGCUUGAUUUCUGAAGUUCUGAAUGUUACCAGUAGGGUGAAGCUCUUUUUGCUUAUUCUCCCUUCUUCAGAUUGAGACCCAUUGAAUAUGGUGUAAUGCUCUCCAUCACCUUUAAUGUAACACCACCUGCUCCUAUCAGAACUUAUUUGAUGUGAGAUACCCUGGAAGAACCACCAGUAAUGCUGCAGGUUUUGAUAUCGGCAGAGUGACUGACAGAAGCAUUCAUCAUUAAUCUGGGGGCUUAUUGCCCAAAAAAACAAUGUACUACAUCAGCUCAAAGAACCUUCAGUUAGAUACCUCAAUGGUCAUUUUCUUUGUUUAUUGUUUGUCGUAUUGUACAGUGUAAUUUUUUAAUGACAUAGAAAUGUAUAAUGUAAGAUUUUAAAUAAAAUUAAUGUUUAAAUAAU